rnacentral:rRNA from 1 species
AGAGUUUGAUCAUGGCUCAGAAUGAACGCUGGCGGCGUGCUUAACACAUGCAAGUCGCACGAGAACUCUUCUGCUUGCAGAAGAUAGUAAAGUGGCGCACGGGUGAGUAACGCGUGGGUAAUCUACCUCUGAAUUUGGGAUAACUCCGCGAAAGCGGGGCUAAUACCGGAUAAUAUUUCAGGAUCUUCGGGUCUUGAAAUCAAAAGUGGCCUCUACAUGUAAGCUACUGUUUGGAGAUGAGCCCGCGUACCAUUAGCUUGUUGGUAGGGUAAUGGCCUACCAAGGCUACGAUGGUUAGCUGGUCUGAGAGGAUGAUCAGCCACACUGGAACUGACACACGGUCCAGACUCCUACGGGAGGCAGC